CCAGACCCUUUUUGAGACCUGGAGCAGCAGUAACCCCAGGAGGAUUCCCAUGAUCAAAUUACCCUUAAACAAAUACUUGGGCAGUAAGUAAGGCUGUAACUGCUGAAGGUCAACAAGGUGUUUGUAGAACAUGUUUACCAGGUUUAUUUCACAUCACUUGCUCCCAUUCAAAGACUGUGAGUUGCAACAGUGGCAAAAUGGAACUGGAAGAACGCUGCAAACCUAAUUAAAACUCAUGACUCCAAAUGGCUACGAAUACAUUUAUUUAGGCCUUUGGUACCUCUGUAGCUAUUCAGGCAUAAUUAAACCAGCACUGUUUCCCUGAAUAUAAAUAAAUAAUAGAAAGCACACACAUUGUCUCUCCUGUGAACUGAAAUUUGGCAAUGUCUGUGACAUUUGUUUGGGGACUUGAUGACAACAUAGUAAAGCUGUCUGCAUCUCAGUGGAAAACAGGAGGUUAAGGAAGACUGAUAGACAGGCAGACAGAUACGGAUGUACAGAUAGAUCCAGACAUAUACAAAUUAUUUAGUUUGCUGCCUUUCUCCCACCCUUUUGCAGUCAGUACCCUUUUUAUGCUGGGAGAACUGCACUGCAUUGCUGCAAUCAAAUCUCGACAGCCAAAGCAACAGUGAUCUUUAAAUUCAGCCUGUGCCUCAGGGAAACCCAGGAUUCCAGUCCUCAUAAGGAAGACAUCUGUUUUGUCUAUCACCUCGGAGGAGGUCAGGAAUGGGCUGUGGAGGAUGACUGUCAUACAGUAGGUAAGGGUGAAAUUUAAUAAGUGGGUGUAUUUAAUGGUAGGAAUUUGUCUAUAGAGAGACACCCAGACUGUGAUUCCAGGAGACCUCUGCAACACUGCUGAGACCCAGCAGAGUCAUUGCAUGCAUGAGAAGAGCUGUGAGAGGGGUCUGCAGGGAGCAUAAAGGGGCUGUUGAGAAUGAAUGAAGAACCAAGGAGCCAGAGUGACAGGAGUCUUUUCAGAUGCCACUGAACCAGAGCAGAACAGGGCAGGGAAACUCCCUCAGCUGCUACUUGAAUGAGAAAUAUCUCCAUGCUGACUCCGCUCGAGUGCGCAGUGAUUUGAUGCUUUGGGGGAAGAGAAAUAACUUUCUGCUGGUCUCCGAUUCAGAGAUCACCUGAAGGGGAAGAUGUGAAGUGACCAUCCCUGGGGCACAGUUGAUGGUAUGCAGUGGGUUGAACCUUGACUCUGCCAGGACCAUCCCCCCUCUAUGCAGGAGAAGCAUUGCUGAAGUGCUGCCUGGGUUAUUAGGCUGUCUCAGCAGUGCGUUUAUGAUGGUUCCCCAAGGCGUCCAGUCUGAAGUAGCAUAGACACAUAGGCAUAGAAGGCUUCCCCCUCCCAGAAGUGAGCUACAACAGCACUUUAGCUGGAGACAGAGCAGCUCUUUAAAGGAAAAUGCUGCAGCUUCUCUUUUAAAUGUUCCACUGGGCUCUUGAGGUUUGCAGUCCUCCACAAGGCUCUGAAUGCUAAAGGAUGCAGUAAUGAGCCCUACUAAUUCACAGCACUGCCCAGCUGUACAAGCAGUGAGUGCAAAGGCUGCAAAGCAGGAUGUGGAAAUCAGCUCAUUUCAUAGUUUUCUUUACUCUCUUUCUCUGUUCUUAAGCCUUCAAAGGGGAGAGGAGAUACAUACCUUCAUAUGUACAUAAAAUGAGGCUUAUUCAGAUGAUUUCCUAAUUAGACCUACAGGAAAGCCUGAUCUCCUUCUAUAUAUACUGCUCUCAAACAAGCUGCUCCUGGUAUCAUAUUAUUAUGAAUGAACCACUCUCACUAUAGACCUUCACUGGGGUCUUGUAAUUGGAAUUUAGCAUAUUUAUAAAGCAAGGUCUAUAGAAACACCUUUCUGUACAGCAUCCUGUUACACUCAGAAGUUUAAAGACCCAUAGGAGAUAAGACUAGAGUAAGGUCUCUCGAGGCAUAGGUAGGUUUUUAAGUCCCCAGAGACCACUGUCACUUGGGUUCUUCAGAUGUGGUUGCAGAUGUGCUGCUGUUCUUGGACCCUGGCAAAAAAAAAUGACAUUAAUGCAAAAGGGUGGGAGAAAGGAAGAGAAUCUAUAAUUAAUGUUUAUGUAUCUGUAUCUUAUCAAUAAGUCUAUCUGUAUCUAUCUUCCUACCUAUCAGUGCAUUUCCUUGCAACCCUUCUCUUGACACAUAUCUGCCAUCUGCCCUUUAGCAGCACUGGAGCACUAACCUUCCUCCUUGUUCAGCCAGUCCUGAUGCACAAUGUUGGGUGAAUGCCAGUUGUGUCCUGACCUGGGCUGGGUUUUGUUUGCAUUUCUCCAUCAAGGGAGCUUUUAUAACCUCCACUUCUAAUCUCAUGCUUCAGGAGCUGGCUAUUGGGAGGGAGAUCGCGUGAGGAAAGAAACUCCCUUAUGUAUGUGCUGGGAUUUCAAAACACAGCAUGGAUGGUGCACUAGAGAACAAAGCUGACUGGAGGUCACCCAGGAGAUGCCUUUAGUGAGUUUGAGAGAGAAAAGCAUGGCGUGAUGGUGCAUAUAAUACCAGCAAACCAGUGGACCCUGAAGCAGAAGAGUGUCUUCGAGCUGGUGAUAACUCUGAAAUAUAGGAAAGACUGAGACUGAAUGGCUAAAAGGGGGAAAGGUACAGCAAAGGGCAGCUCAUGGAGGGAGAAGCAUGGGCUAAAGGUGAAGGGAAGAUGACAAUAAGGAAUAAACCAUUGUAAUGACAGAAAAUACAAUUAGGGGAUUCAGUGGAGAAUCAGAGGAAAUGUCUGAAGGGCCUUAAUACAAAGGUGAAACUGCCAAAUCCAUGAUGUUGCUGAUAAACAUGAAUAGCAAAGGGAAGGAAUGAGGCACCUCAGGGACUGAGAGAAGGACUGGAAUUGAGGAUUUUUAAGAAAGAAAAGCUGCACAGAGAUGCUAGAGAAAACCAGAAGCAUAGCCCUAAGGGAAAGGAUAAAGAAUAAAGCAGAGAGAUUGAUUUAUGGAGAGAGGAGGGCCUGGGAAAGGAGGACAGCCAAGGGGAAACACUGGCAAGAAGAAUUCAUUUGAGGGAGAGCUAAUGCCAUGGACAGGGACUGCCUGCCAGAUCUUGGCACUCUUUUCAUUUGAGUUUGUCACUUUGCUGUAAUUUCACCUCCAUCUACCCUUUCUGCACCCACCUUGCUGAGUUUCUUAAGGAUGACUCAUUAAAAGGAAAAAAAAAGUAAAAGAAAGGCAAUAGCCACCUAUUUCUUAUUUACUAUAAAAGGGCAAGCUGUGUUUUCUCUUUGGGAUAGAAAAUGCCUUUCAGACCUCAGCUGGCAUUGGAUCUGUUUGCUCUUUCUCAGGACACUUGCUCUCCCUGCUCCUGUUUUUCACAGUUGCUCCUAAGAGGAGGGCAAAGCCAAAACUGGCCAGGCUGGAGGUGAACUUUCAAACCCUCAAUAAUGGAGCAGGUUCAGAAGGAAACAAACAGAGGAUGCUCAGGCAUAAUGUAGGAAAUGGCUGGAGACAGAUGGGCAUUUGGAGCUGAAACAAGAACAGAAGACCAGGAACAGGCAGCAGGAGGAUAUUCUGCUAGUUCCAAGAAGCCACCAGUGCUCUUUGGGGGAUAAAGAGGGGUGCUAACAACAUCCCCAUGUGUGGGAUGGAGCCCAGGUAGCAGUGGCCUUUCCCUUCAUGGAGAUGUGACCUCGGCACUGUGGUGACAGUGGGUGGCAAUUAAUGAUGACAGCUUUAUAAGCAUAUCUGUAACACUGAGGCUUAGCUCCUGAACAGCUCCAAAUGGGACUUUUAAAUGCUAUUAAACCAGCUGUGCAGUAUUUUCUGUUCCAUAAGAACAGCAGUGGCAGGCUCUGUGCCAGUUUUCAUUGUGCAGAUGGAUGUACGUGUGGACUCGCAUGUGUAUGCAUAAAACCUGGAAGGGUUGCAGUGUACUUAAAGCCUUCCCUCCUUUCCCAGGCUACUUUCUGAUCUCAGGUCUGAUCAGAGGAGGAAGGGAGCUGGAAACACAAUGUCCUUGGAAAAAAGGAGCAUAUCUCCUGCUUGUCCAUAGAGAUGGGGACACUGAGGCAGAAGAAUACAGAUGUUUCACUGCUUCCCUACUCCUGGAAGAACAUUUUUUUCCUGAGCUCACACUCUCAGCACUCAUGGAUGAUAUUUUCCUCUGGAAUAAAGAGUUUCUGAUUACUCCAACUAGAGGCCAAUAGAUAAGCAGGGCCUUACGUCAGGUUGUAGUGAGAGAAACCAGUCAUAAAUGAGUGGGUAUGAAGAAAGGUUUAUCAAGAAAGCAGCUACAAGAAGCAUGAGGAUGUUAAAUUUUGACACUAGAGUACAUCACUUUGAAAUGGAAAAUAAGAGUAAAAUAUCCUCAUGUUUCACCUGGACAAAUUCAAUUUGAGAAAGGAUAUGUCUGGAGAAAUCCAAGGAAUGUGAUUUGCCUCCCGGGAGGUGUUUCACAAGCCAAGAAUCUCUGCUAUCCCAUCCACCUACCUGCAUCCCACAUUCAGUUUUGGGAGUCACCCAUCACUUUUCCAAGCUAAAACACACUCUCUUCUGGCAGAAGACUCACUCCUCCAUCUUAUCCUUGUCUUGCCUCUGCCUGUCUUGUAGCACGAGUCCCUGCAGAGCAGCCAGGCCGCCAGUAUCUCUUUCACUUUGGGUUUGCACAGCCUUUUCCUUGGGAUCCAGGGGACUUGUUUGUAUUAACGUAAUUGGCAAACACAUUGUUCAAAUAUUAGCAGUGGCAGCAAAACCAUUGUGUGGGGCUAGUCAAGGCAAGCGGUCCCUUCACUCGCAACAGUUAAAACCUGGGCGCUGCUGCCAGGCAUGUUAGGCAUUGAAUAUGAUCCAGAAAAGCUAUCCAGCUCUGAAGAUGGCUCAGUCUUAGUCAGUAUUAAUUUGACUGGGGAUAAAGCUACAUAUAAAGGCCUCUUUCUGCAACCAAAAGCAAGUGAUGAAACAUUCGGCCUCAUGUUCGGUUGCAUCCUGUGCAGGGAGUGAAUGAAGUGGUCCCGGUGCAGAAGCAGGAUUAAAGGAGUUGUGCACAAGGAGCUUUCCUAUGUCUGCACACCAGGUCCAUUGCAUCCCUCUCUGCACAAAUUCCUGCCUCAUUGUCCCAGGAAGAGGUGAAUCAGGAGGGUUGCAUAAGGCUGGAGAAAGGUUUGAAUCAGCAGCAUUAACAACCAGAGGAAAAUGUCCUGAUGGCUUUGCCACUGCCCUGUGAUUAUAUAAAAUAUGAGUAAGAAGGUUUUCCAGAUACUUUGUUAAAUAGGACUUCAUGGGAAAUGUUUAUAGCAAUAAGUCAAAUUCCACAACCCUACUGAAAUCAAUGGCAUUUUAUGCCAGGUAUGAACUGGGUCAAUAUUUUUAUGAUGAUGCCCUCAUUGAUAUACUGUUUGCCUAAAAAAAGGAAUGAAAGCUGUCAUAAAGCUCAGUUUUUAUGUUCAAACGUAUGGACAUGUGAAUAAUGCAGUUCCUAUAUGGCAAUAAAAAGGAUGGGAGGAA